rnacentral:rRNA from 1 species
AAACCAACUGGGAUUACCUUAGUAACGGCGAGUGAAGCGGUAAAAGCUCAAAAUUUGAAAUCUGGUACUUUCAGUGCCCGAGUUGUAAUUUGUAGAAUUUGUCUUUGAUUAGGUCCUUGUCUAUGUUCCUUGGAACAGGACGUCAUAGAGGGUGAGAAUCCCGUUUGGCGAGGAUACCUUUUCUCUGUAAGACUUUUUCGAAGAGUCGAGUUGUUUGGGAAUGCAGCUCAAAGUGGGUGGUAAAUUCCAUCUAAAGCUAAAUAUUGGCGAGAGACCGAUAGCGAACAAGUACAGUGAUGGAAAGAUGAAAAGAACUUUGAAAAGAGAGUGAAAAAGUACGUGAAAUUGUUGAAAGGGAAGGGCAUUUGAUCAGACAUGGUGUUUUUUGCAUGCACUCGCCUCUCGUGGGCUUGGGCCUCUCAAAAAUUUCACUGGGCCAACAUCAAUUCUGGCAGCAGGAUAAAUCAUUAAGAAUGUAGCUACUUUGGUAGUGUUAUAGCUUUUUUGGAAUACUGUUAGCCGGGU